CCAAGAGCUGUGGUCCAGGAAGAGGCCCUUUACCCCGUAGGCUCUAGUGUGUUCCACAUCCACCAUCAACCUGCCCUGGCUCUACUAGCUGACACAACUACAAUGGAACCUGAAGAAGUGGUGACCACCGAUCUGCCUGAGGAGGGACCAGCUGCCACCACAGAGGCCACUCCUGAGCAGGCAGGGGACAGCACCAACACCCAUGUAUUUGCCUGGCCUGACACCACAGUGAGCGAGGACACCACCCUUGACAGCCCCAACAGCUCCACCUUAGAUGCUCUACUGGAAGAACUGUCUGAGUACCUGGAGGACAGUGGCUGCCUUGACAAGCAAGCGGAGUUGGCACAGCAAGGGGACAAUGAGGACACCAUCUUGGCCGCCAACGUCCCCAGUUUGAUGGCUGAGGACCUUGAUGAGUUCCUUGAAUUCUGCGAAUGCCUGCUGGAAGAUGACCAUCCCAAGAAGCCGGUGGUGGAGGCACAGCAAAGGAACAGCCAGGAUGCCAUGCCUGCCAUCCUCAACCUGACCGCUUCUACGAGCUCACCCACUGCCUCCCGGCCUCACUCACCCCAUACGGCCGAGAUGGAGGAGGAGGCACUGCAGAGGCAGCCACCAGGCGUCAUCACUAUCCGUGUACGCCCCAAAACAAGAGAGCUAGCAGCAGCCAGGCCGAGAACUCUAUGCCAGCCAGCACCCGCACGAGCUAAGAGACCUUCCCGCAGGACCAUGGCCCAGCCAGCAAGAAAAAGACGACGACGGUGAUGCAGCAGCCAGGCCAGAAGACACCCCGAGCCAGUGACCUACAUCCAGACCCCCAGCUGCAGCUCUCUCCUACACUCUUCAUUCCCAUUAAGUCAUUAAAGACUUGUUUUGCAGCUCAUCUGUCUUUUGGGGGUCACAGUCACGGUGAGAGGGGGGUGAUGCCUAAGGGCAGCCCUGUACCCACCCCAUAUGGGGCCAGGCUGGGCUGGGAAUGGCGACCAAGAGGAUGGCUAUGGGGACAUUGCUCCGGGUGCUGGGUGCAUGGUGAGCUUCCCACUUGGUUUUGCUGCUAGAGGACAGGGAAAGAGGGACCUGCCCCAAGCAGGGAGACCUUUCAUUAUCAGGAAAUGGAUGAGGUCGAACACUGGGAUGGUUGUGUUUGGGUUGUUGAAAUGCCCCAAGUGCUGCCAUAGGGAUUUUUCAUUUGCCACAGGGAAAUUUCUUAACCUCUAAAGCCAUCAACCCUGGAGGCAUAUUUUUUUCAAGG
rnacentral:lncRNA from 12 species